rnacentral:rRNA from 1 species
UACGUAGGGUGCGAGCGUUGUCCGGAAUUAUUGGGCGUAAAGAGCUUGUAGGCGGCCAGGUAGGUCUGCUGUGAAAACUCGAGGCUCAACCUCGAGACGCCGGCGGAAACCAUCUGGCUAGAGUCCGGAAGAGGAGAGUGGAAUUCCUGGUGUGAGCGGUGAAAUGCGCAGAUAUCAGGAAGAACACCCGUGGCGAAGGCGGCUCUCUGGGACGGUACUGACGCUGAGACGCGAAAGCGUGGGAGCGAACAGG